AUUGAACGCUGGCGGCAUGCCUUACACAUGCAAGUCGAACGGCAGCAUAGGAGCUUGCUCCUGAUGGCGAGUGGCGAACGGGUGAGUAAUAUAUCGGAACGUGCCCUAGAGUGGGGGAUAACUAGUCGAAAGACUAGCUAAUACCGCAUACGAUCUACGGAUGAAAGUGGGGGAUCGCAAGACCUCAUGCUCCUGGAACGGCCGAUAUCUGAUUAGCUAGUUGGUGGGGUAAAAGCCUACCAAGGCAACGAUCAGUAGCUGGUCUGAGAGGACGACCAGCCACACCGGGACUGAGACACGGCCCAGACUCCUACGGGAGGCAGCAGUGGGGAAUUUUGGACAAUGGGGGCAACCCUGAUCCAGCAAUGCCGCGUGAGUGAAGAAGGCCUUCGGGUUGUAAAGCUCUUUUGUCAGGGAAGAAACGGUAGUAGCGAAUAACUACUACUAAUGACGGUACCUGAAGAAUAAGCACCGGCUAACUACGUGCCAGCCGCCGCCGUAA
rnacentral:rRNA from 1 species